rnacentral:rRNA from 1 species
AACGAACGCUGGCGGCAGGCCUAACACAUGCAAGUCGAGCGCGCCCUUCGGGGUGAGCGGCGGACGGGUGAGUAACGCGUGGGAACGUGCCCUUCUCUGCGGAAUAGCCUCGGGAAACUGAGAGUAAUACCGCAUACGCCCUUCGGGGGAAAGAUUUAUCGGAGAAGGAUCGGCCCGCGUUGGAUUAGGUAGUUGGUGGGGUAAUGGCCCACCAAGCCGACGAUCCAUAGCUGGUUUGAGAGGAUGAUCAGCCACACUGGGACUGAGACACGGCCCAGACUCCUACGGGAGGCAGCAGUGGGGAAUCUUAGAAAAUGGGGGCAACCCUGAUCGAGCCAUGCCGGGUGAGUGAUGAAGGCCUUAGGGUUGUAAAGCUCUUUCAGCUGGGAAGAUAAUGACGGUACCAGCAGAAGAAGCCCCGGCUAACUCCGUG